rnacentral:rRNA from 1 species
CCUACGGGAGGCUGCAGUGGGGAAUAUUGGACAAUGGGGGGAACCCUGAUCCAGCCAUGCCGCGUGUGUGAAGAAGGCCCUCGGGUUGUAAAGCACUUUCAGUGAGGAAGAACGCCUGGUGGUUAAUACCCAUCAGGAAAGACAUCACUCACAGAAGAAGCACCGGCUAACUCCGUGCCAGCAGCCGCGGUAAUACGGAGGGUGCGAGCGUUAAUCGGAAUUACUGGGCGUAAAGCGCGCGUAGGUGGCUUGAUAAGCCGGGUGUGAAAGCCCCGGGCUCAACCUGGGAACGGCAUCCGGAACUGUCAAGCUAGAGUGCAGGAGAGGAAGGUAGAAUUCCCGGUGUAGCGGUGAAAUGCGUAGAGAUCGGGAGGAAUACCAGUGGCGAAGGCGGCCUUCUGGACUGACACUGACACUGAGGUGCGAAAGCGUGGGUAGCAAACAGGAUUAGAUACCCGAGUAGUC